rnacentral:rRNA from 1 species
AUUGAACGCUGGCGGCAGGCCUAACACAUGCAAGUCGAACGAGUGGCGGACGGGUGAGUAAUGUCUGGGCAACUUCCCGAUGGAGGGGUAUCACUACUGGAAACUGUUGCUAAUACCGCAUACCAUCAGAUGUGCCCAUAUGGGAUUAGCUAGUUGGUGGGGUAAAGGCUGACCAAGGCGACGAUCUCUAGCUGGUCUGAGAGGAUGACCAGCCACACGGGAACUGAGACACGGGCCAGACUCCUACGGGAGGCAGCAGUGGGGAAUAUUGGACAAUGGGGGAAAGCCUGAUGCAGCCAUGCCGCGUGUAUGAAGAAGGCCUUCGGGUGGUAAAGUACUUUCAGCGGGGAGGCGUUACCCGCAGAAGAAGCACCGGCUAACUCCGUGCCAGCCGCCGCGGUAAUAC